AGUUACUGGGGCCGUUAUGAACGUUGGUUGUCAGUACUGUUGGAAGCUACAUGCAUUCCGGAAGCCCCCUAUCCUCCACCCACAGCAUAGGCGGGGAUCACUGGGCCCCCUCUCCUCUCCGGGGAAGGGCCAGCAUCACCCCAGGCCCGGCCCGGGGAAGGGGCAGAUGUGAGCUCUGCCCGGUGCAGAGGCUGCAAUCAUGGCCACAGCUUCGGAUAAACAGACAUCAGCAUGUCCCAAAUCCUGUGAUUAGAACCACAGGGCGAAAUUCUCUCCAUAUGAAAUUCCUUACGAGUCACCGGCUGCACUAAACCGCCGCCUGUCCCCGUCGAUGUAUUCACAGCCUCGCCGCCCAGAAACAGAUGUGACCGCUUUGCUAUCAGGCUGUCAAGGGAAAGUGUCGAUGUGACAUGGGAAACAGUGACCUAUGACCUCUUGGGAACAGCUCCCAAGCGUCUCAUCGAAGCUUUUUGUUCUUGGGCCCUCUGGAUCCUUCGAGGCUGCGGGGGCUCUCCAAGAUCGCGCAGCUCAAGGUUAAGGAUCGUGAUAGACUCUGUCAUCGAGCAGAGAGUGGCGUCUCGCGGCUUGCACACAGUCUCAGAACAAGACCCUGUGAGGACAUCAUUACAGCAAAUGUGAGCAGGAGCUGUUCUCCACCCAAGCAGGAAUGGACAGCUCUUGAUUGGAUCUGCAUCUCUUCCUGCCUUCCUGUCAAAAGAGACCAGAUGGAGAAGAGAGAAGAUCCUAUUCACAAAAACAAAUCCAAACUCAUCAAGGACUAGGUAUUGAAGAGAAGAUGAAUCUGGACUGCUAGAGAUCAGGAAUACUGAAUGACACUAGCACCACUGAUGACAGUAGUAACAUGGCCUCCUAUAAAGAGAUAUGACCAACGGCAGAACGGAAUAAGAGAGGCACUGACAUCUCAUAAAGUCACUGGAACAUCCAAAGUCACACAUAAAAUACAAGACAGAUGUUUUGUCUUCUUUGAGCAGGAGGCAGGAAAGGGCAGAGGGAGAGAGAGAAUCUUAAGCAGGCUCCAUACCCAGCAUGGAGCCCGACUUGGGGUUCCAUCUUAGGACCCCAAGAUCAUGACCUGAGCCAAAAUCGAGAGUUGGUCGCUUAACAUACUGAGCCACCUACGUGCCCCAAGGCAGUUUAAAUUCCAUUGAAAUAUCUCUUCAUCAGGUGGUAAAGCCACACUAUAAAUAACAAUCAUGGUUGUGGAGAGUCAUCCUAAACUUUUGUUUGUAGACUCCCAAUGCGUCUCUCACCUCCGGUGUCUAGCCCCUGCAAGUUAUCCUUUGUGACAGGCAGAGUAUUAACCUAAGGAAUGAACCCAAUCAUGCCAUUCUAGGCUUAACAUCCUGUCCCAGAGUUGCUUUCCAAUACCUGCAAAUGAAUUCUGAACUGCUUAGAAUGGCACUGAAUAAUACACAGAAGCAGACUCCAAUCUAUGUUUUCAUUUUUCUUCUUCUCCCAUCUUCUCUCUCAUCUAUUUUCUCCCCACUACACUAGACCCUUCAAUGUUCUAGAAACAAACAUGUUCAGAUGUUUAUACUGCUUCUCCAUGCUAUCCUCAACACUUAGAAUUCACUUGCUGCUACUCACACACCAAUAUCCUACUUAUCUCUCAAGGCCCUGCUCCCGUGU